CAAAUGGCCCUUUUCAGGGCCACUAAAUCUUUCAUACGAGGAACAAU
rfam:Apis mellifera strain DH4 linkage group 1, whole genome shotgun sequence.